CCUACGGGAGGCAGCAGUGGGGAAUAUUGCGCAAUGGGCGAAAGCCUGACGCAGCGACGCCGCGUGAGGGAUGAAGGUCUUCGGAUCGUAAACCUCUGUCAGCAGGGAAGAACGGUCACUGUGCUAAUCAGCAGUGAAUUGACGGUACCUGCAAAGGAAGCACCGGCUAACUCCGUGCCAGCAGCCGCGGUAAUACGGAGGGUGCGAGCGUUAAUCGGAAUUACUGGGCGUAAAGCGCUCGUAGGCGGUAUGUCAAGUCAAGGGGGAAAUCCCCUCGCUCAACGUGAGAACUGCCUUUGAAACUGGCAAACUGGAGUGUGUGAGAGGAUAGUGGAAUUCCAGGUGUAGGAGUGAAAUCCGUAGAUAUCUGGAGGAACAUCAGUGGCGAAGGCGACUAUCUGGCACAUAACUGACGCUGAGGGGCGAAAGCGUGGGUAGCAAACAGGAUUAGAUACCCGUGUAGUC
rnacentral:rRNA from 1 species